rnacentral:ncRNA from 2 species
AAAGUAUCAAGAGUGUAGAGAGGGAUCUAGCCCGACGACCUACCAGCAACCCUUUCAGUUGGGUGCUAAAUCUAGUCCUGCAUGCAGGAAAGAUAUGAA